GCUUUCCUGUGGCUCAGUUGGUAGAGCAUUAGGCUAACAAUGCAAAGAUCAUGUGUUCAUAUCCCAGGGAAAGCA